rnacentral:rRNA from 1 species
AAUGAACGCUGGCGGCGUGCUUAACACAUGCAAGUCGAACGAGAAAGUGGACUUCGGUCCGCGAGUAAAGUGGCGCACGGGUGAGUAACGCGUGAAUAAUCUACCCCUGAAUUUGGGAUAACAGUUCGAAAGGGCUGCUAAUACCGGAUAACAUUGUCUUUUUUACGGAUUAGACAAUCAAAGAGGGCCUCUCCUUGGAAGCUUUUGUUUGGGGAUGAGUUCGCGUCCCAUUAGUUAGUUGGUGAGGUAACGGCUCACCAAGACAUCGAUGGGUAGCUGGUCUGAGAGGAUGAUCAGCCACACUGGAACUGACACACGGUCCAG